rnacentral:rRNA from 1 species
AGAGUUUGAUCAUGGCUCAGGAUGAACGCUGGCGGCGUGCUUAACACAUGCAAGUCGAACGAUGAAGCCCACUUGUGGGUGGAUUAGUGGCGAACGGGUGAGUAACACGUGAGUAACCUGCCCUUAACUCUGGGAUAAGCCUGGGAAACUGGGUCUAAUACCGGAUAUGACUCCUCAUCGCAUGGUGGGGGGUGGAAAGCUUUUUGUGGUUUUGGAUGGACUCGCGGCCUAUCAGCUUGUUGGUGAGGUAAUGGCUCACCAAGGCGACGACGGGUAGCCGGCCUGAGAGGGUGACCGGCCACACUGGGACUGAGACACGGCCCAGACUCCUACGGGAGGCAGCAGUGGGGAAUAUUGCACAAUGGGCGAAAGCCUGAUGCAGCGACGCCGCGUGAGGGAUGACGGCCUUCGGGUUGUAAACCUCUUUCAGUAGGGAAGAAGCGAAAGUGACGGUACCUGCAGAAGAAGCGCCGGCUAACUACGUGCCAGCAGCCGCGGUAAUACGUAGGGUGCAAGCGUUGUCCGGAAUUAUUGGGCGUAAAGAGCUCGUAGGCGGUUUGUUGCGUCGGCUGUGAAAUCCCGAGGCUCAACCUCGGGUCUGCAGUCGAUACGAGCAAACUAGAGUGUUGCAGGGGAGACUGGAAUUCCUGGUGUAGCGGUGAAAUGCGCAGAUAUCAGGAGGAACACCGAUGGCGAAGGCAGGUCUCUGGGCAUUAACUGACGCUGAGGAGCGAAAGCAUGGGGAGCGAACAGGAUUAGAUACCCCCGUAGUCC